GUCCAACUGCCCACAGGACCCUGGGAGUGAAGAGCAGUAGGGUGUUCAUCCUCCAUGGCCUGGAAGGCAUGACACAGCAACUUAGUGGGCUGGGCCUGCGGCAGGCUCACUUCGCAGUAGUGUGUAGUUUCCAUGCCCUACGGAGGCUGUCAGAGCUUGUGGCUUGCCCUGGGUCUUCCGAGUGACUGGCUUGAGGCUACACAGCUGCUUCUGUGGAGGGACGG